rnacentral:misc_RNA from 1 species
GGAGUAGAUAACUUUCCCGCCGGAGUGAGCAGGCCGCGCUCGUUGAGCUUCUGACGCCGUGCUUCCUCAGCGAGCCGCAGGCGUACAACCUGCCCAGCCGCCGCCGUCAGUAGAUCCCACGCAUCGUCGUGGCUCUGCUCGAAGGAAGCCGCCGGCGGCGACGAGAGCUGCGACGGCGGUGACGUCAGGUUGCUACUUCCUUUAUUCCAGAUCCGGUAGUCACAGAGCGUCGACUG